GAUGAAGAACGUAGCGAAAUGCGAUAAGUAGUGUGAAUUGCAGAAUUCAGUGAAUCAUCGAAUCUUUGAACGCACAUUGCGCCCCAUGGUAUUCCGUGGGGCAUGCCUGUUCGAGCGUCAUUUACCCCCUCAAGCUCCGCUUGGUGUUGGGCGUCUGUCCCGCUUCGCGCGCGGACUCGCCCCAAAGGUAUUGGCAGCGGUCGUGCCAGCUUCUCGCGCAGCACAUUGCGCUUCUCGAGGCACCGGUGGGCCCGCGUCCAUCAAGCUCACCUCCCCAGUUUGACCUCGGAUCAGGUAGGGAUACCCGCUGAACUUAAGCAUAUCAAUAAGCGGAGGA
rnacentral:misc_RNA from 1 species